GGGGGUGACUGGUUUCGACUUGGGACGGUAGUUCCAGGAGAAGCGGGCCGUGAAUCCAGGGUCAACACGUUAAUGUUCCCCGGAAACCUAUAACUGCCGACACCAAUCGCGCAGACUUCGCUCUCGCUGCCUGAGCAGUGACCGAAGGGUCAGUCCGGACGUAGCCUUCCGUCCGGUUCCUGGCCUCAUCAUGAAGGCUUGCUGAUCAACCCGCGUGGCAGGGGUUGAUCGGGACUUUACUGCUACUGGGCCUGUCCACGACGUGCUGUAGAGAGCGUGGGGGCCGAGAAAAGCAUCAACCACAGCUGCGCCCGGAGAAUGCCUGGUUCGCCUCUUGAGGACGCGGGUUCAAUUCCCGCCACCUCCACCA
rnacentral:tmRNA from 3 species